UACGAGUGCCCCAAGCGUUAUCCGGAAUUAUUGGGCGUAAAGGGUCAGUAGGUGGUUCUGUUAGUCUUCUGUCAAAUUCUUCGGCUUAACCGGGGGUCCGCAGGGGAAACGGCAGAACUUGAGGAUGCGAGAGGUGAAUGGAACUCAUAGUGUAGGGGUGAAAUCCGUUGAUAUUAUGGGGAACACCAAAAGCGAAGGCAAUUCACUGGCGCACUCCUGACACUGAAUGACGAAAGCGUGGGUAGCGAAUGGG
rnacentral:rRNA from 1 species